GGUGUGGGUUUGGUUGUAGCUUCAAACGAAGUUAGUGAUUCUUACCUGCACCAUCUUGGAGGUAGUUGUGUUGUGUCAUUCAGUUGAUGGAGCAUGUCUUCUCCUCGUUUACUGUGAGCAAAAUAGAGUGUUCAAAGCAGGCUUAUGCCGUUGAAUACAUUAGCAUGGAAUAAUAAGAUAAGACCUUGGUCUAUUUUGUUGGUUUAUGUUUCAAGGUA
rnacentral:rRNA from 1 species